ACGCUCGACACCUACGGGGCAGCAGUGGGGAAUAUUGCACAAUGGGGGAAACCCUGAUGCAGCGACGCCGCGUGAGUGAAGAAGUAUUUCGGUAUGUAAAGCUCUAUCAGCAGGGAAGAAGAUGACGGUACCUGAGUAAGAAGCCCCGGCUAACUACGUGCCUGCAGCCGCGGUAAUCUGAGCGGGCUGGCAAGGC
rnacentral:rRNA from 1 species